UACGGGGGGAGCAAGCGUUGUUCGGAUUUACUGGGCGUAAAGGGCGCGUAGGCGGCGCGACAAGUCACUUGUGAAAUCUCCGGGCUUAACCCGGAGCGGCCAAGUGAUACUGUAGUGCUAGAGUGCGGAAGGGGCUACUGGAAUUCUCGGUGUAGCGGUGAAAUGCGUAGAUAUCGAGAGGAACACCUGCGGCGAAAGGCGGGUAGCUGGGCCGACACUGACGCUGAGGCGCGAAAGCCAGGGGAGCGAACGGG
rnacentral:rRNA from 1 species